UCGCCUCUAAGGUUUAUUAGAGGUACCACCUGCCCAUUGAAUUUUAAAAGGCCGCAGUAUUUUGACUGUGCAAAGGUAGCAUAAUCAUUAGUCUUUUAAUUGAAGACUUGUAUGAAUGGUUAGACGAAACAUUAAUUGUCUUUAAUAGGUGGUGUAAACUUAACCUUUAAGUGAAAAGGCUUAAAUAAGAUUGAAGGACGAGAAGACCCUAUAAAGCUUAAAACAUAAACUAAUAAAUUAUUAGUUGACUAAAAUUUAAUAGGAAAUGUUUUUGGUUGGGGCGAUAAGAAAAUAUAUUAACUUUUCAUUAAUUAACAUUGAUAGAUGAACAUAUGAUCCAAAAUUUUUGAUUAGAAAAUUAAGUUACUUUAGGGAUAACAGCGUAAUCUUUUUAAGAGUUCCUAUCGAAGAAAAGGAUUGCGACCUCGAUGUUGGAUUAAAAUAAACUUAAGGUGCAACAGCUUUAAAGUUAGGUCUGUUCGACCUUUAAAAUUUUACAUGAUC
rnacentral:rRNA from 1 species